UACAGAGGGGGCAAGCGUUAUUCGGAAUCACUGGGCUUAAAGGGUGCGUAGGCGGCGCGGAAAGUAGGGUGUGAAAUCCCUCGGCUCAACCGAGGAACUGCGCUCUAAACUACCGUGCUCGAGGGAGGUAGAGGUGAGCGGAACUUAGGGUGGAACGGUGAAAUGUGUUGAUAUCCUAAGGAACACCGGUGGCGAAAGCGGCUCACUGGAUCUCUUCUGACGCUGAGGCACGAAAGCUAGGGUAGCGAACGGG
rnacentral:rRNA from 1 species